UCUAACCGUAUUUCUCUUUUACAAUUUCAAGAAAAUAUCCUAAGAGUUCGAAUCCCCGCUACCAAAUGAUUAAACAAAAAACAAUAUACCGUACCGAGAUUCCAGUACCAGCCAUACAUCAUUACAUCUGGUACGUAGAAACAGAAACAUGUCAAACUCCAUAGGCUAGACCUGUAAACGGGUCGGGUUUAUUGGGUUUGGAUCGGGUUCAACCCGACCCGUUAAGUUAACGGGUCACCCGAACCCGACCCGUUAACCCCCGUUAACAAUUUUUUUUUUUUUUUUGCAUAAAGUUUAUUUUUUGUUAUUAAGACUUUACUAAAAUUACUAAAAUAUCCUCAACUAACGGGUCCUAACGGGUCUAACAGGUUGACCCAAAGUGACCCGUUAUUUAACGGGUUGUUAACGGGUUCACCCGUAGCGACCCAAUCCAUUAAACAUCCACCCAAAUACAAAUAUUAACGGGUUGGGUCGGGUCGGGUUAACGGGUUGGGUCCAAAAUGCCAGGCCUACCAUAGGCUAUGCCAAAUGUAAACAUUUCAUCACUGCAAAACAUGGCUGGUACUCCCACAUUUUAUAGCAGCAAUAAGCAACCACUAAGUCUGGCAUUACUCAUUGUGUGACGCUCAUCUAGCACCACUGCCCAUAUAAAACUACUUCCCAAGCAAAAACAAAGAACAAUAUCGCACCUAGAACCGUGUUGAAAAGGUAUACUGAUGGGGGACUUGUUAAUGGGGGGAAAGUUUCCCAGGAAAUGAAAGAACAGCUCAUCCAAUUGCCGGCGGUGGUUGCAUUGUGUGUCUGCUUCAAACCCUUUUCUGUAUUAUUGCCUUGAACCGCCUCUGCGUCUUUGUUAGAUUCUGUUAUAAAGUUCCUCUUCGGGGGAAAAUCAACAGCAGCUCGACGCUCUGCAGCUACUUUGGCCUGCAAAAAUAAACCAGAUUAAGUUGUGGAAAUAGCCUCUCCAAAGAAACAUUAUUCAUGUUCUCCGUGCUGCAGUUUGGGUUCUCUCACUCACCUUGCUUUGCUGCUGUUCUAAUUCAUUAGGUUUGCCUGGUGCUAAGAGGGCACUUGUUGAAUAUGUUCUUCUCUCAUUGUUAUAGUAUUCGUCGGAGGCUAACUGAAUAGAGUUAAUCUGAAGGCUAUCUGCAUCUACAUCCACAGAGGAAGCACUCUUUUUAAUGGGUCUUGAUGCACCAGAAUCUUCAUCACUGACUGAUUGAAGACGAUCAGUCUGAGGUUUAGGUAAUACAUUGGUAGAGGAAGCAGCCUGUAUUAAGAUCCGGUUACGAAGCGUAACACCUUUCCCGCCCCGGGACUGGCCCUAAAAAAUAAUAAUAAUCAGAAAACAUGAGCAAGUUUCCAAAGCUUCCAGUACCAAAAAGUUAAGCGAAGUUUUAGCAGAACGCUUUUUUACCUCUUCAAGUUCAACUGCAUGUUGUACUUCUGUGGCUGAGCCACUGCUUACUCCACAAUCCUUUAAAUACACCUUCCUAGGUGACUGUGGCAGAGUGGAGUUAUUUAAGACGUUAGCGUGAGUUAUUUGUUCACUGAAAGCCUCAUACGGGUCAACAAUAACUGUAUUUACGAACUCUUCUGAAUCUCCAUCCGAUUCAUUAGCUCCAGGUGCAGAUUGCGUUCCAUGGUAAUCAUUAUUAUCAUGCGCAUUUGCAAGCAUACUGCCCAUAUGCCUCUGAAAAAUGUCCGGAUUUGGUGGUGGCUGAGUACGUUCCUGCAUAAUGAACAACAAGCAAGCGAAGGUUUUGGAUCUGUUUCUUUUGCUCCGAGUAUAUAUAUAUAUAUGAAGAAGUUUUAAUCACCAUUCGUGCUCGACAUUCUCACCUCUUCAACAUGCAUAUUAUGUGCUGGUUGCAGUUGAUUUUCAAAGUCAUGUGCAUUGUUGUAAUUACUAGAUUCACCUUCAUCACAGGUUGAAACAUCCGUAUUCUUACCUGAUUUCUUCUUUACGUGACAGAGAACGAAAUCCCUCUGCAAAUAAGUUGGAAAACCAAUUAUGUAAUGAAGUAUCACCAACAGAAAAUUAAACAAGGUUCCAACCAAAAGUCACUGAACUUUGCACAUUUACAGAACAAGCCAAUUGGCUUGAAGGGGUUUCGAUUUUGAUCCAUUCAAUGAUUUCAAAACCAAAACCUCUUCGAACCAAACCAAAUAGACUUGAGUUUCACAACGAAAACCCCUCAAGCCUCCGGUAUAGAACUUGCCUCAUACAAUGCUGCAAAUUGUACAUCAUAUAUCCCUAACAUUAUUAACAAAGACCCGAUAACAGAAAGAGAAGGAUGACCCGAUUGGCAUUAGGACUGACUUGAGGGAUGUAAAACUCAUGCAUGACCCAGGGGGUAAUUUGGGCUUGACGAGGGCGACCUCGGUAAAAUGUCAGAAUCCUCUUUUUACCGAUAGUUUUGUUGUCUCGAGCCGUGACUAUUUUAUCCCGGCCAGUGAUCUUCCAGAAGCCUGUGCUUGUCGCCCUUUCGAUGUCGUGUCUGCUGUUAUUUUUGUAAAUUGGUCGGUUGUAGAAGUACCAUUCCUCAUCAUCCGACUUUAUCAAUGACUUAGCUGCAUAAAAACACAACAUUUGGAUCAAACCAACACAUAUUUUUACACUCAUUCAAAUGCAAACUAAAAAGUAUCAGUAAAAAGGUAGCGAUUUUCGCACCCCAUCUUCAGCUAUUUCCACUUAAAAAAUGAACAUUUUACAAUUUUUCGAACUCGCAGAAGAGUGUUAAGCGCUAAAAUCUCUUACCUUCGUAAAAUUGUCACUCAAGAAAAAACAAUAGUAACUUUAAGAACUGGGAUUGGUAAUAAGUUACGUUUGGAUCAAACCCAAUUGCCUAAACAGAGAUUCAAACUGUAGGGGGUGUAUUCAAUUGGGAUUUUGAGGGAUUUUAAUUUUCUUAAUGAAUCUAAUCAAGAUUUUAGGUGAUUCUCAGAAAUUUAAUGGGUAUUCAAUUAGGAUUUUAAGAUAGUUUAUUAAAAUCAUUAGAAAUCCGGUGUAUUCAAUUAGAAUUUUAAAAAAGUUUAUAACAUUUCAGGUGUAUUCAAUUAGAAUUAGAAUUUAAAGAAUUUGGAAAAAUUGAGGAAUUUGAAGGAAUUUGAGAGAUUUUGUAGUGUAUUUUAAGCAUCCACAAAUCUCACAUUUCCCCAUGAGAUUUUGAGGGAAUUGAAUCAAAAUUUUACAUGGAAUCCCUACAAAUCAAUUAAACUCCAUAAAAAUCCAUGGAUUUAUAAAUCCAUUAAAAUCUCUCAAAUUCUCAAUUGAAUACAUCCCUUAGUAAUAAGUUACACAUUACUAAAGUUGUCACCAAAAAUAAAAUAAAAAAUUGAAUUUUUUAAGAACUGGGUUUGGUAAUAAGUUACGUAAGGAUUAAACCCAAAUACCCAAUGGCAAAUACAGAUUAUACAGAUUAUCCGACUCUUUGAAACAAGAAAAAUAAUGAAAAUUUAAGACCUGGGGUUUUGCAAAUAAUUACCAGGCAAGUCCCAGGGCUCGUGUUUGCAGAUAUUGAUUUCACGGAUGACGUCGCUGACGAGGGAAUCCUCUCCCCGGAGCUUCAACUGCAAGUAAUGGCCGAUCAGCUCUUCUUCUGUGGGGUGGAAUCGGAAUCCCACUGGCAGUAAUAUGCCUCUUGCGGUUGCUCUGGUGAAGGGGAUUCCAUUGGAAGCCAUCCUCCUUCAUGUAGGACAAAUGGAAUGCUGGGUGGGUUAUUUUAGGAUUAAGAAAAACAAGAGAAACAGUAAUUGACUUGAGGUCGAUCAAAGUCUUUCUCUUUCAGUGGACAUUUUUUGCUUAUGGAAGAAGCUAUUAAACUUCUGCUUGGUUGUACAUGGUGGGCUCUGGAAUUUUUGUUGUCGUGAUUUUUGGUGGGACCCCGGGCAAUCCUACGUGUGGAACUGCUUGCUGUAUGGCUGCGUGGGUGUGCUUCUUCGGAAAGAGCAGAGAAGCUACAGGGAUCAUGAGAAGAUUUUGUAUCCCAUUUUUUCCAAAUAGAAGAUUAAAUGAGGGUAGGUUGUGAGACUGAAAUUUCUGAUUCAAUUGCUUAUUUUGCUGUUUUGAAAACAGAGGGCAUAUAAGAAGUAGACGAAUUUCGUCAUCGUGUAGGAUAAACAGUCGAUAAGGUAGAUCGAGAAAAUCUAAUUAAAAAAGUCGGUAGCAUUUUCAUGGAGUUUCAAUCAAAAUAUGUCUUCAUAUAUUGUCACUUCUCAAAUUUAUUUAUAUAAGAUUUUGUGCCCGUUUGAUAAAUAAAUAUUAGAUAUAUCACUUUAGAGAAUAUUUUUUAGAGAGCUUUAACGAAAAAUCCAUGGUACUGUUCACUUUAACGAAAAACCACAUGUUUACACUAAAAAGUCAAACCUGGUACUAUUCACUUUACCCUUUAUUUUGUCAUUAUCAUUAAAACUUAAAGUUUUCAAUCAUUUUUCAUUAGUUUUCCUUAUUUUUUAGGGAACUUUAACAAAAAGCUCCCGGUACUGUUCACUUUAACGAAAAACCACAUUUUAACACUAAAAAGUCAAUCCUGGUACUAUUUAUUUUACCCUUUAUUUUGUCCUUAUCUUUAAAACUCAAAGUUUUCAAACCCUUUUCAUUAGUUUUCCUUAUUUUUUUAAGGUAUAUGUUGUUGGAAAUUCUUUGGUUGUAACAUGAGAUUCAUCUCAAUAUAUUUGUCUCACUAAUUACUCAAUUCACUUUAGUGUGGUUACUCUUACUCGCAAUAAUCUUUCUAAUAGUUUAGCUUGAUUUAGUUUAUAGAUCCCAAAACAAAUUGCGAGUCUCAAGAAGUUCUUCCAAGCCCGUAGUAAAGGAUACAAUUUUCAAUGUGUUCAAAAUUAGACUUGGCAAUUUCUUACACUUGUUAACACGACACGUAAAUGACACAAAAAUAAAAGGUUUCGAAUCAACACGAUAACUAGUCAGGUCGUUAGCAGGUUACACGAUAAGAACCUGUUAAUAACAGGUCAUUAACAGGUUUACACGAGGGUGACACGCGGGUAAUCCGUUUCAACAAGUUAAAAAAAUAUAUAUAUUUUGAUGAUUUUAAUUUUUUUUAAAACUACUAAAUAAAUUUACUAUAAAAUAUAAUAGUCAUAGUGUGUAUGCAUAUAUUGUAUAUUAAAUAUGUAUUAUAGUAAUUAUUAUUCUACAUAAACCGAAAAAAAUAAAGUUUUAUUUAUUUAUAUAUUUUAAAAGUAUACUAUAGGCAAAGAGUGAGAUUAAAAAAAUUAGAAAACUCAUUAAAAAUAAAAAUAUGAAGUAAUUUAAAAAUACCAAACACAUUAAAAUUGUAAUAAUUAAUUUACAAGUGCGAAAAAUGUGAAGAAAUAUGCAAACACUUGUUAUCGCAUCCUAUACGGUUUGGGAUGGGUACAUUGUCGUUUGAAUUUUUAAAACCAUACAAACCCUCAUGAAACACAACUCCCUUCAUUUUGCAUAUCCUUGAACAUUUGGUAAUUUGUAGUAAUGUACUAAUGCUUUUUCAUUUGGUUCUUAUUUUGAGGUAUCUAAUACUUGAAAGGUAAAUGUUUUUUUUUAUAUUUUGAAGUAAUAUUUAUGUGACAAUGCGGUAUGCAUAUACUGAUUUAGUAUUAUGUUUUUUAUUUUUUUUGGGUCAAAUUAUGUUUUUUUUUCUUCAUUAUUUAUGGAUUUAAAAUAUAUUUUCUUUAACGAGUAACAGGUCGGGUCAUAUUACCUGAUUAUAUUAAUGGGUCGAUAUGAGGUCAGGUCAUAUUACCCAUAUACUUUAAUGGAUGUUACAUGACACGACCUAUUAAGAUAUUGGAUAUGUUAGAAAAACAACAUGAAUACGAAAAUUAUGACACAAAUAUCAUGUCUAUUCAAAAUACGUAGUAGAAUAUCACAUGUCAUUAUACUAUCAAGUAGACACUUGAAAUGGAUUUUGUCUAAUCUAAAGACAUAAAAUGAGGGGUAAAUGUCAGUUUACUACUCUCAAGUUUCGUGGUAUUCAACAUUUGGUACAUGAAGUUUUUUUCGCCCCAGAGUCAUACCUAAAGGGUUAAUUUUAGGACAGUCUCAUACAUCUGUUAGUCUAGUUGUUAAGUCUCCCGUUAAAUGAUAAUGUGGCGCCCAUAUGAACAAUGUCUAGGCGCCACGUGUCUUUAAGGAUCCACGUGGAAAUUAAAAAUUAAAAAAAACAAAAAACAAAAAUUUCAAAAAAACCAAAAGUUUUCAUCUUCGAGAGCAAACACACAUCUCUCCCUAGACAUCUAGCACUCGAAGCUUCUCCAAUCUCAAAUCCAUGGAGGCUGCUUUUUCAUCAAACCCUAACCCUCAUCCUCUAAUCGAAUCCCUAGAUCCUCAUCCCCCUCCUUCUGAAACCCUACCCUUCUACUAUGAAAUCCUUUUCUUGGAUUUCACUAUUAUAAUAUACGUCUCUGUAGUAUUAGGAUUUUAUAUUAUUUUUCGAGAAUUUAUUUUUAAUUUGUUUAAAUUUAGAUUUUUAUUAAAUUGGUUACGAAAAGUAAAGUUUGGAAAUUAAUUAUUUAAAAUUCGUAGACCUUUUGAGGUCACAAUUUAUAUUUUCGAAUAGAGCUCGAUUUUACGAACGCGUGAGUGCAAAUGGAAAGUAAUUUGGAGUUAUAACGAAAGAGUUAUUAACAUUUAAUGUUAUGGAUAUUUUUGUAUUUUUGACCUUGCUAGAAGAUUCCAGAUUUUCUGGAACCAUUAGAUGGAGCCACGUGUGUGGCUGGGAUCGAAAAGGAAGAAGAGAAGGGAGAGAGAUGUACGGUUAGGAUAAAAAGAAAAUGAGAGAAAGGAAGGAGGAUGGGAAGUCAGCCAAUAAGGAGAGGGGAGAGGAGAAAAGUGGACGAAUGGGAAAGGGAAGAAAUGAGGGGGAGGGAGAGAAUAGAAAGGCACGGGAUCACGGAUUCCUGCCCAGUUCGUGCAACCCGACCCAACGGGGCUUGCAAACCUAACGCCAUUCAAUUGAGGCAAAUCACCACCUAGGAACGACUCCCUAGCCUUCCCCUUUCCAUUUCCACCCAAAAUUAGAAGGAAUUUUGUGCUAGUUUUGGAAAAAAAAACUAAAGGUAGAGCUUAUGGGUGUACGGCGGCGAUCCACAAAUCGUGAAGCUAACUUAACCCAUUUCCACCACCAAUAGGCUCCCCUCACUGAGAUCUACUUUUCUGUGAAAUUUGGUAAUUUUUUGAAAUAGUUGAAUUUUCUGGCAAGUUGGGGUGGCCGACUGCCAACCGCAGCGGCGUGUGCGGCGGAGCGCGGCCAGUGGACUGAAAAUGUCUUUCUAAGUAAUAUUAGAUGCCCUAAGUCCAUGUUUGACACCCGUAGUAAGUGAUUUGAUUAUUUGAAUCUAGUUUUAUUAUGAUACAUUACUUGAUCAAAAAUUUGAAUCGACGAUCCGACCGUUGGAUCGUCACCAAACUUUAAUGCAUUAUAGAACAUAAUAUUUGAGGAUAGCUAGAACUGACGGAUCAUGAAUCCGAUGUACGGAUCUUCCCAAACUGGAUUUCUAAGUUAGAAAAAUUAAUUGUUAACCGGCACCUAAUUCAGGCAAUUGGCAGAGAUCCGACCAUCGGAUUGCCAUGAGAUUUUAGUAGGUUGUUCUAGAAGCAUAAUGUGGACUUUGGAAAGUUAUGGAUCAAAAUUUGAUAGGUGGAUCUUCCGGUUUAGAUUUCUAGGGUUAUGGGCCCUACUCUCGACCUUGAGUAACGGUUGGCUUUGUAGUCAACUAGCUGAGUUCUUCUAGUGUGUCGGUUAUCUUAAAGUGCAGAUGAGAUUUCAUGGAGCUUGAUGGACUCAUUGUGAUGACGUGUCUUCUUGGUUGACGGUGACUCAAUUUGCGUACUAGUUGCAUCGUAUUAUAUUAUACUUGUUUAUUAAGUAUGUUUUGAUUUGUGCAUUAAAAACGUUUGUGAAAUAUGGUUUGAUUUGUAUGAUGAGUUGAAGGAUGAUUUGUGAAAAACAUGUUCAUUUAAGCAACAUCUAUAAGCAUGCAAUUAACAAUUAAAGGCGGAAUCAUGCUUGCAUGCACUUAAAAAUAAAACAUUAACCAUGAAAUUCAAAGCCUAGUAGAUUGGUGAACCAAGACUCAACUCAAAUCAAAGUGAGUUGAGAAAUAUACCUUUGUAGAUUCCUCUUUGCAUAAGCAAAGGCUAAUCACCCAAAGAGAGGGCCUUCAUUCCUUGCAUCUAAAAUCUAUGGAUUUGGAUGGAUGAAAAGGUUUCUCCAAGUUCCCAAAAUUGAGAACCUCUAAGUAUCUUCACCAAGGUUAGAUUGGAGAAGAAAUGAGUGACCUUGGAGUAGUUAGUAUGGCUAGAUACACCCUCCAAGGGGCCGGCCUCUUUAGAGAGAAAAGGAGAGACAAGUUCUCACCAAUUUUCUCCAAAAGAAACCCUAAAUGAAUUUUGGCUAUAAAGUCAUAUUUAUACCUUAAUUCAUUGGAGUGGCAAACUUGUAAAUAAGUCCAAAACCCACUCCAUCUCUAAUAUGGCCGGCCAUUGGGAUAUUUUUGGACUAAUUGGGCCUUUGUGAAUCAUUAUUCAUUAAGUUGUCAUACAACUUAAGUUAAUGGACUUGACAUUCAAAGCCCAUUGGGCCUUAAGGUCCAAAACUAUCCCGAGGUCUUUAACGAACUUAUUUGUUUGAUUAAUUAACAUAUUAAUUAAUCCUUGCCAUAUAUAAUUAAACCAUUUAAUUAUUCUUACUCAUUUCCAUUGUUUCUUCAAUCUCCACCUUACACGGUGUACGAUCCAUUAGGUUCUUUUUAGCGAGGCAGUGGGCGAUUAAAACCAUUUCAAAUCGAUUGUGAAUUUGAAACUUACUUUCAAUUCUCCCUUUAGUGAUUAUACACGUUUAGGGCUUCCACAAACCAUGAGUGACACCUAGCAGCAUAUCAUGGUUACCCAAGCUAAUCAGAAGAAGUGGAGAACCUAUUCAGUUUAGGACUACAAAUGCAAUACGGUCUUUCUCUAAUACAAUACUCUUGACCACAUUGUUUGGUUUGAUAGUUUAUUUAUUCAUGUCUACUAUCCAAUGUGAUUCGUGUGCUUAUAUGAUUACCUUGAAUGUGAUUUGGACGACUUCCUAAAUCUCAUUCAUACUAUGGCGCUAGAGAUUCUAAAUCAUAUCAUAGAGUAUUCUCCCUCAAACGGUUUGAAGGUUAGAGAUCCCUUGUUGCGCAUUCACUUGUCUCCAUGGCUAAGUGGCUUAACCCCAACGAUGCCGUGGACACCCCGAUGGGGUGACUUUGACAUAAUCAAAGAUCAAGGACUUAACCACAAGACAACUGUGAUGCCUCAGGUCAAAUGACUACUUUGCAUUAUCCCAACCAUGAGUUCUCAUGUGACAUGAAUAUGAGAACUCUUCAUUGAUCGUGUUCAGUGAACUCAUUCUCUAUUGAGCACCUACGUACUUGUCUUGAUGUCACACACACCAAUGACUCGAGACUAGUCACUCUCCCUGAGAGAAGACACAGGACGUACUGAUCUUAACGGACUGUCAAUGCCCAAUUGGCAAUCCUAUGAUCAGGAACGUUUAGGAUGUGUCUACGAAAGAAUGGUCUCAUGAAUCUAACUUCUUUAGAUCGUAUUCUUCCAAUCACAUAUUCCUUGGACUUAUCGUUUAAGCAUAUAACAUUUAUAUGAGACGGCUUAAACAAUAAUAUUUGCCCUUGAUAUUAAACUAGAUUAGUUUAACAUGUGAAAUGUCCGUAAAGUAUCAUCACAUGAUUGGUUUUAGGGCACAUUUCCAACAUGAGUAUGACGUGAUGAAAUGUGAUUUGAAGUGCUUGUUGAAUUGUGUGAUGAAAUGUGAUUUGAUGUGCAUAUUUGAAAUGUGGUUGAUUUGCAUAAUUGAUAUGAUGUGAUGAAAUGUGAGGGCUAAUUGUGGACCGUUAACCCAUUGUCAUGGGGUUUGUUGCUUCGAGACUUGUUUCACAUAUCGUAUCAUUAUAUCAUUUCUCGUUUCGUUGAGCUGUUCUAAUUGUGUACCUUGUGCUUUGUUCCAUUUCUUGUUUUGAUGAGCUUUUGUAUUUUGAGUACUUGCUUCAUGACUUGUUCUUUGAGCGUUGCUAUAUUCCAUGGCCCUCAUCUCGGCUCCGUUGAGUGAUCCGGAACUGGGCAUCCACUGGGGUUCCGUUAAGUGGUCUGGUCCCCUGCUCCGCCUGGAUUCAGUUAAGUGGUCCGGAAUCCCUUGUGAUCCGUAAUUCCAUUGAGUGGUCCGGAAUCGUAUCAAGCUUGGAUUUCAUUCAGUGGUUUGAUAUGCAUUGUACUCCGCGAUUUCGUUGAGUGGUCCAGAAUUGUAUCCGCUCGGAUUCCGUUAAAAGGUCCGGAAUCCCUUCUACUUCGCGAUUCCGUUGAGUGGUUCGGAAUCGUAUCCUGGGUUGAAUUUCGUUAAGUGGUCUGGAAUCCCCUUUGGUGUCUUGGUUCCGUUGAGUGGUCCAGAACUCGAUGUUGAUGGAUUUCGUUGAGUGGUCCGAAAUCGCAUCAUUUGAUUCAUUUGAGACAGCUUCAGAGAUGUAGGCUUCGACCAAACUGUGUCGCUCUAGCCCUGCAUUUCGGUGUAUUGUAUGAGUUAUUAAUUGAUGUGAUAAUUGGAUGGUGUUGGAAUGCAUAUGUGUGGAUGAAUGAUGAGAUGACUAGAGAUUAUUAUCGUGCUUUGUUAAAUGUUCCUUGAGGUGCUACAUGAUUGAAUUGUGGUAUUAUGUUGAGACAUAAUGGUCUAUGUGAUGAAUAUUCGAGUGUAGUGAAAUGGUGAACUACGAAUGGCUUGAUCCCUAUUGAGAGUACAUAGGCAAUCUAAUGAGGAGGUUAGAUGUAGCCAUAAAGUAUAUGAAAAAUUAUUACGCAAUUCGAGGAAUGAGUUGUGCUUGGUACAUAUCCCGGAGGCGAGGUAUGUUAGAUACAGGUUUUUUGUGACGUCACAUGUCGGUUCUAGACGUAUGUUGGGAUCGGGGCGUUACACCUACGAUUUCAAUCCCCCUCCUCCUGCUGAAACCCUAGCCUUAGAUUUGAAUGGACCGCCUCAACCGCCGCCCACUGAAACAUUAGCUUCUGACACUUAAAACCCUUUCCCAAAUCCCCAAGCCGCUACGGAGAAGACGACCAGCAGGCGCUGUUGCCGCAGCAGGUGGGAUCCUCAGCCUGAGUCGAAGAAUCAGAGUGGUGGUGGUGAGACGGGCAGUGGGACGAGGAAGAGGAAGUCGCGGUGGGCAGAUGAGGAGCCAAAGGCGAUUCAGCCGCGGGAUUUCAUAGGAGGUAUUGAGUUUAAUCCAUAAAUUCAAGCUUUGAAUAGUAGGUGCUUGGGAUUAGUCGAAUGCUAUCUUUGGGUUUGCCCUUAGAUGAUUGUCCCGAAGAGGCUAGGUUUCCUUCAUCGGAACCUAUAUAUGAUAACAUGGGAAAUUAUUGCUCAUAUUAUUAAGAGGAACCCGAAAUUUAAGCCCCCGGCUAAUUACAAGCCACCCAAGCUUCAUAAUAAGCUUUACAUACCGAUGAAGGAAUAUCCUGGAUACAAUUUUAUCGAACUUAUCAUUGGGCCGAGGGGGUAAUACGCAGAAGAGGAUGGGUGGAGUCGAAGAUGAAGGGGGAAUGGUGGAUGUAUGACGAGUUGAAGAGGAGAGGAGAUGAGGGUUUGGUGGGUUGGUGCAGAGGAGAGAAUGGAGGGAUAAAGAAGGAAGGGAAGGUCGGGGAAGGUAGAAGACGACCAAAUAAAAGUUUUUUUUUUGAAUUUUUAAUUUCCACGUGGACCCCUUAAUGACACGUGGCAUCCAGUCAUUGUCCAUAUGGAUGUCACGUCAUUAGUUAACGGGAGACUUAACAACCAGACUAAUGGAUGUAUGAGACUGUCCCAAAAUUAACACUUUAGGUAUGACUCCGGGACGAAAAAAAUUUCAUGUACCAAAUGUUGAAAACCAUGAAAUUUGAAGAUAGUAAACUGAGAUUUAUCCUAAAAUGAAUUACUUGUUAAUGAAAAUAAUCACGAGUUACGAGGCUACCCUUUGAUGUGAUUGUGUGGGUCCACCGUUUCCUCUCAUCACACGUCCCUUGUAAGAGCAACUCCACCCAUGGAGCCCUCCCCCCUGGCAAUCCACUAUUGAAUCCACCUUAUUGAACAGUAACUGCCUUUAAUGAAUAGUAACUGCCAUUAAUGAACAGUAAUUGCCAUUUGCAUCUCCACCAUUGGAGCCCUCCCCCCUAGCAAUAGACAAUAAAAUAUUAGUUUUUUUUGUUUGUUUAAAUAAUACAAAAUAAAAUUAUUUGUAAUUUCGUAUAAGAUUUUUUAAAUCGUUCUCGUUGCGCCACGUGUUAUUGUAUCUAAAAAUAAUAUCUUUAAUUCUUUUGCCAAGAAAGUAAUGAUGAAAACAAAAAAUGGUUUUUUUUUCUUCCUGUAAUACAACACCUAUCAUAGAAAAAGUGAAAAUAAUGCAUAUAGAUAAAAAAAAUUAAAAAAACCGGACCCAACCUGACACAAAAAAUGGUUUUUUUUUUUCUCCCUUGCGUCAGCAUGACCCCUCCCCCCUCGGGCAGCAGGCCUGUCAAUUUUCCACAGGCCUGCAACUCGGGCUCCCACCCUCACUCAGGCCCUUCAACGCUGGACCUCCUCCCACUGGCCCUCGGGCCCUUUCCUGGAGCCUGUCCCCCGAGCAAACUCCAUGAGUGGAGUUGCUCUAAUAAGGGUUUUUCUUGUUGAUCAAGUACUUGUCUGAACUGGAGCAAAUGUUUCCACUUUUUGGGUAGAGAUUAUGAUUACCUCAGUUUCUUCUUGAUUAAAUUUACUUCUUUGAGCAAUGUUCCAUCAACUGGCAGAACCAAUCUAUAAAAGCAGAGACCUUGUAGCUAUGGGGUUGUAGCUCAUGAUUACUUUGUGACUUCAUCUCUCAUUCCCAAUGCUGCAACUUACAACUAGGAAAAUAUUGUUUGAUAAACCACAUGAUAAAAAAUUUGUUCAAUAGAAUCUCUAAAUGACCAGAUAAUUGUUAACGCAUGAUUAUUUUAGACUCGUUAAAAUAAUAUAUAAGUUGUUUUGAGCUUAACAUAUAAAACUUGGAUAAGCCCACCAGAAAAUGAGAAAAUUAAGACAUAGGGUCUUCAAGCUAGCCCAAGAAAUUCAGAUGAUAGAGUACAACCACGAGAACAAAAGACGACUGCCUUCAACAACCGCUCCUAGCCUUAUCUACCGACAAGAAGAGAGGAGCGCAGAACUUAAAGCACUUUUUGACCGCUGAAGCCAGUUGGUAGGCUUGACAAUUUUCUAGCAUGGAGCUUCAAGACAAGUAUGUCCAGAUAUCAACUUUGAACCAUGUGUGUGUUGGCCACCGACGGGGAAAAAAAUAUAUGAAGAGACAUACAUGUUGUCAGGCUUAGCGCUGUUUUUCAAUUACUCUUGAACGAGCGUUGUGCUCAAGACACAACGAUCUGGGAAAUCAUGCAAAUAGCUCUGCAUGAGUAAUGCACAAAGCUAUACAUUGGUACGAGCGUAUGAGCUAUGAGGGCUUUGUCUGUAGUAUCUCAUGGCAGCUAAGAUUUGCUUUGUCUUGCUUGUCAAUCCAGUACUAGAUUUCACGAGAAAGUGAUUUUCUGCAAACCCGUUUUGACUUUUUGCACGCCCAUUAAUUUUGGUCCUAAAUUCUCGUCUGGUUUGUUCAGAAAAAACAAAAGGAUGAGAUAAAAACGGAUGUGUAAAAAUCAUCCCUAAUUACUAAUUUAGCAUGUGUAUCUUCUCAAUUUAGAUUCUUUUUUCUGUGUACCAACAAACACAAAAGCAAACAAUAACUUGGAAUUUGAUAUGAUUGUGAGCCCACCUGACAUGGCUUGCAAUUGCAAAGCAACAAGAAGUGAGACAAAUCCAUACAAAUCAAUAACUAUUCAAAAUCCAGUUGUUUUAGGUAAAAGGCAUUCCACAUUACAGCUGCUGGACACCCAUACACAUGAUUCCAGUCGUUUUAGGUAAAAAGCAUUCCACAUUACAGCUGCUGGAGACCCACACACAUGAUCCUCUCCCCUCCUUCCCCAACAACAACAACAAAAAAAAAGUCGUACCCAGUGCACAAGGCUCCCGCUUUACGCAGGGUUUGGGAGAGGUGAAUGUCGGCUAGCCUUACCCCCAUUUAUGGAGAGGCUGCUUCCAAGUCUCGAACCCGAGACCUACCGCUCAUGGGCGAAGGCACUUGCCAUCGCACCAAGUGCGACCUCUCCCAACAACAACAACAAAAGAAAAAAAAUAAUUUGGCCAAGGCUAGUGAGAAACAGUUAAAAGAAUGAAGAAUAUCAACCAGAAAAAAACUCUCCAACCCUAUAUUGCUCUUUUCUUUCUUUUUCUCAAACACAAGUAGUACCACAGAAGGGACCUUUCCUCUGUUGGCUAUACACAUUUCCUACAGAUUCUGCAAAUCCCUUCCACGUGCGUCGUUAAGUGAGGUUUAUGACUUACAACACCACAUCCUUUCUGGUGAAAGUACAACCGAGAGUCGAGCGUGAUCAGAGAGAGUAUAAUCUUCGGGCCAUAUUCCCUUCUCCACCUCACGGGGAUAUAGAACUGCAUUCUUCACAUUGAAUCCCAGGGAGUCCUGCAUGCCUCGUUUGGACUCCUCUCUACUACCGUUGAGACUUUCCUUAUCCUCUGACGCUCUCGAACUCCAAAUUCUAUUCUGCAAUGCCAAAGGUUUUAGACACGCGAUGUUAAUCUUGUACUACUUUGGAAGGACUAUUACAUGACGGCAAUGCUAAUGUAAUUUCAAAAGGAAAAUAAAAUAAAUUAUUAUGGAUGUAAUGUACCUUAAAUUCUUCGUAAUCAAGAACACCAUUUGCAUCGGCGUCUGCCUGGAUCCAGAGAUCCCUUGUCUCCUGGAAACCUAGUCCCUUUAGGAUGACCAAUUAAAUUAACCUGCAAAUACCUAUAUGAGCAAGUUUGAUCUUUCCAUUUGAACUUUAUACAGCUUAAUAGCUAAUAGAACCAACCUAUUGUAGUGCUUCACAGAAAGCUGAGGAGGUAAUAAAAUCACCAUGACUAUCACCCUUCAGAAAGGCAAAUGCAUCAUUUUCAGCCAUCGAAGCUUUUCGAAGCUGGCGCUGAAAACCCCAAAAGGAAAAAGGAAGUUAUUAGGAUUGCAUGUAGAAACUGUCUAGAGCUUGCAUGCCCUAUAAUAUAAAGGAUCGAAACAUCUUUUCAAAAGUUUUGAACAAAGCUUUCUGUGCACAAUAUAUCUGAUGAACUAGGAUUCUUGCCCUCUGGCAAGGAAUUAGAUAGUAGGUAGAGAAAAUGUGAACGGAUGAGUGUUAAUGACAAAAAAAUAGAAUAUGGAAACCAAAUUGCUUACCCGUAAUAUUCCAAAAACAGCUUCACACCAACUAGUCUUUAGUGGUUUUCGUGACUUAUUGGGAUUACAAAGCCAAAUGAAGUCAACACUGCAGAUGUUUCCCCUAUGAUUGCGGUGGCUAACCCACCGUCAGAUAUAAAAUACAAAUAUUCCGUUAAAACAGAUGAUGAGCAUUGUAUAGAUGGGUCCUUUGGCAGCCAGUAAAUAAUUGAUUUUAGAAUUUGAAUCCAGAAAACACCAACCUUGUGAGCAUCCGCAUUGGUAUAUUGAUGAGCAGUAUCAUAUGUUGAUUCAAAACCCUGUGAUCUAAGGAAUUUGUACACAUGGCCUCGCUUACUUCCAUUCCAGUCACUGCAUUGAGAAUAACAAAAAAAGAAAUACAAAUAUAAGAACUACCAUCCUACACAAAAGAAUACAACCAGAGAAAGCCUACCAUUUAUUAAAAUUCCAUUGUUUGUGAAGGCGGCCUUCAAAAGGAUUUACCAGUUAGGAUAGCUUGCACCUUCAAAAGGAUGUAUAUUUUAAAGAUUUUCUUCAGAGUAUUAGAAAUGAGAUACUUUGACAUGGAACAUUAUCUAAAAAAGACAAGGCAGGAGACUCACCCACAGAGUACGAUGGGCAUCGGGUUUAGCUUCUUUUCAUUCUGAUAUGACUUCACAAAUUGCAAAAUUUUGUAAACCUAUUAAAAAACUUCAAGAAACGGGUUAGAAUGAUUGCUAGUGCAGCUUGUUAAAAUAAGUUGACAAUUAUAUGCCAUAAGUUGAUAACUUGUUUGGAAACUCUGAAUACCUGAUGCAAUCGUACUAUAGAGAGACUGGAUCAUGAGGAAACAGCAAAUGAGUAUUCACAAUUAGCAUUUCUUGUUGAACGUUUCCUCUUUCGUGAAAAUGGGGCAGCUAACUGAACAUGUAAUAGCUGAGCAACACGGUCUCCAAAAUCAUUAAAAUGCAACUCUUGGCAGUUUCGAACACUAAAACAGUCCCUCCUCAAAGCAGUCAGCAAACCUGUAUAGAGAAAAUACAAUAAGUCAAGCCAUAGAGCAUGGAAUAGACUUAAAAAGCUCAUUUUAAUCAUGACAACACUCGCAAAACAAGAAAUGAGUUGAUAUCAAACUUGAGGACCAUUCUAAGACACAACCUCUUUGGAAACGCUAGCCGAUAUAUGAAGAACCAGUGGAAGAACUCUCUAAUAACUUAGACUGCUAAAUUGUACUGGGAAAAGUUAACAAAGAAAGGCCAAUUCAACUGCAAAGUGUUGUGACAAAGCACUCCAAUGCAUGAAACAUGAACCCAUGUGUGCAGAAUAAUGUACAUUUUUUCUCAGAACUUUCAAGUUGUUCAGCAUCUGACUUAUAUUGCAGUUGUGAACUUGGAAUUAACAUAUGAAUGUGAGUUAAAAAAACCGCACAUUUUACCCAUGGAGCAAUGCAAUAAUGAGAUUUAACUAAACUCGAAUCCAGAUAAGUCUAAUGUAUUAAAAUCGACAUUAAGGGGAAUAGAUUCAAGAUAGCAAUAUACCAUCUCCCCGGUUGUUAGUUCGGGCGAGCUUAAAGGUAGUAUAGCCUGCAUCACCAAGCCUGUCCAGGUACAUAUUCACAAAUUCUUCAUUUCCAACCCAGAACUCUUAAUAUUGCAAAAAAUGGGUUAGUGUCAGCACAUAUAGUUGGAAAGGGCCACGACCCUUAAAACCUCAUAUGCAACAAUGGGUAUUUUGUUUGAGGCCCAAAAAAGCAAAAGGGUACUCAAAUAUCACCUGCAGACAAAUAAAGGCAGAUGAUUCACAGAGCAACCAAUCCAAAAUCCUGUGGUUCCUGGCCACCCAAAACGCCCCGUAGUCGCUCUCGCUAAGGCUUUGAUUCUGUUUCACACACACCACAAAGAAAUUGAGAAAACAAACUCAGAUAAACUAAGUCCGUUUGAUAACCACUUCGUUUUGAGAGUACAAACGGCUCUAAAAACGAAAUUGUUAUCAAACAAAGUGACUCUAAAAACGAAAUACAUCAAAUCACAAAGAAACGCAAAUGCGAUAGAAUAGGACCUGUUGAUCGAGUCUUUUGUAGAUUGGAGCCAAAAUAUUGAAAGUCAUGCACGAGACUAAGCAAGGCCCUGCCAAAGUCUCUGGCUUUAGCUCUGCUAUCGACGGCAACGAUAUGCAGCUGCCGCUGUAGCUCCUUGAAAGGCUCUCACUUUCUCUGCGAUUAAUCUUUGGCACAUUAGAACCCGCACCUAAACCCUGCAACGUCUCAAAAUUUUCAGUAUCCAUUAUCCAAUAAACGAUUUCCUGAGUACCCAUUUUCUCAGAAACCAAAUCCAUGGAAGAAAAUCAGAAGCAAGAGAGAGAAAGAGGAGAGAGAUACUAUUUGUUAAAAGUUUUAAAUUUUUCGUCGCCAGAAAAAUAUAUACCCCACCGAUGCGGUAGCCGGGAACGCAUUAUGGCACUGACGUUGGGGGCUUGUGAAUCAUAUUUAAUGGGACAACAAUGUAAACAUUCAUAUGCUUAUAAAUAUCUUGGCCCACAAAUUGAGGCGUAAUCUUUUUAAGGGAGGCAGAUUGUCUGCCCUCCUCCGUGUUGGGGUGCAUUUCCAUACCUUGUAUUUGUGCGGUCACGGUUAAGACACGUCAAUAUUUUAUAUUUUUAUUGUUUUUUUGUCUUAUUAUCUCUAUUAAAAAAUUAAUAUAAAAUGUUGAUGUGGUUUAACCAUGAUCGCACAAAAUAGGAGGGCAUUAUGGCACUUACGUUGGGGGGCUUGUAAAUCAUAUUUAAUGUGACAACAAUGUAAACAUUCAUAUGCUUAUAAAUAUCUUGGCCCACAAAUUGAGGCGUAAUCUUUUCAAGGGAGGCAGAUUGUCUGCCCUCCGUGUUGUGGUGCCCUUCCAUACCCUUGUAUUUGUGCGGUCACGGUUAAGCCACGUCAAUAUUUUAUAUUUUUAUUAUUUUUUGUCUUAUUAUCUCUAUUAAAAAUUUAAUAUAAAAUGUUGACGUGGUUUAACAAUAACCGCACAAAAUAGGAGGGCAUGGAAGGACACCACAACUAGGAGGGCAAACAAUCUGCCUCCCUUUUUAAGUAUCAAUUUUGAAUGGUAAUGCAGGUCUCCUUCAAACCAUUUUUGACCAAGCAAAAUUUUUUAGGCUGGUUGUGUGGGCUUUAAAGUUACGUAAUACAACCUUUGAACUAGACUUGUAAACGGGUCGGGUUCAAUCCGACCCGUUAAGUUAACGGGGCAUCCGAAUCCGACCCGUUAAGCUAACGGGUUUUACCCUUUAACAAUUAUUAUUAUUAUUUUGCAUAGAGUUUAUUUUUUGUUGUUAAGACUUUACUGAAAUUACUAAAAUAUCCUCAACUAACGGGUGCUAACGGGUUGACCCAAGGUGACCCGUUAGUUAACGGGUUCACCUGUUAGCAACCCGACCCGUUAAGCAUCCACCCAAAUACUAAUAUUAAUGGGUCGGGUACAAAAUGCCAUGUCUGCCAUGCAUUUUGCAUAUUCCGUUUAAAGAUUACGUAACACAACUUCUGAACGACAUUGGGGUGGUGGCGCAGUUGGCUAGCGCGUAGGUCUCAUAGCUUCUGAGUGAUCCUGAGGUCGAGAGUUCGAGCCUCUCUCACCCCAUUCCUUUUUAUCUUUUGCUAUUAUAUUAUAGGAAAACAAAAACAUUUUAACUUCCAACUUCUAACAACAUGAACAUGGUCUAGUAGUAUUUAUCUUUCACAAUUUUAAAUGCCCCAAGAGUUCGAAUUUCCAUAUGAUUUCUUUAACGUCUCAACUUCUAACACUAUCAUGGUCUAACAUGAUUUCUUUAACGGCUCAACUUCUAACACUAUCAUGGUCUAACAGUAUUUAUCUUUUACAAUUUUAAGAAAAUAUCCCAAGAGUUCGAAUUUCUGCUCCCCAAAUGAUUAAACAAAAAAAAAAAAUACCGUACUGAGAUUCCAGUACCAGCCAUACAUCAUUACUUCUGGUCCGUAGAAACAGAAACAUGUCAAACUCCAUAGGCUAUGCCAAAUGUAAACAUUUCAUCACUGCAAAACAUGGCUGAUACUCCCACAUUUUAUAGCAGCAAUAAGCAACCACUAAGUCUGGCAUUACUCAUUGUGUGACGCUCAUCUAGCACCACUGCCCGUAUAAAACUACUUCCCAAGCAAAAACAAGGAACAAUAUCGCACCUAGAACCGUGUUGAAAAGGUAUACUGAUGGGGGACUUGUUAAUGGGGGGGAAGUUUCCCAGGAAAUGAAAGAACAGCUCAUCCAAUUGCCGGCGGUGGUUGCAUUGUGUGUCUGCUUCAAACCCUUUUCUGUAUUAUUGCCUUGAACCGCCUCUGCGUCUUU
rnacentral:lncRNA from 1 species